rnacentral:rRNA from 1 species
UACGUAGGGGGCAAGCGUUGUCCGGAUUUAUUGGGCGUAAAGAGCGUGUAGGCGGCCAGGUAGGUCUGCUGUGAAAACUCGAGGCUUAACCUCGAGCUGUCGGCGGAAACCAUCUGGCUAGAGUCCGGAAGAGGAGAAUGGAAUUCCCUGUGUAGCGGUGAAAUGCGUAGAGAUGGGGGAGAACACUCGUGGCGAAGGCGGCCAGCUAGACCAGUUCUGACACUGAGGCGCGACAGCGUGGGGAGCAAACAGG